UCCGAGUCGCCGCCGUCCCCAAACCCGGCGAGGAGUAGGGCGCUAGCGAGGAUGAGUUGCCUCCACGCUGCACCGACAACCAUCGCGUGUCCCGCAUCGACGAGGGCUUCUGAGCUCCCGGCUCGAAGAUGCAGAGCGUCGGCCGACGACGAGUUCUCCUACAACUGCCAGACCACAUCUUCGACUACCUCGUCAACAAGGAUUCAGCUGGGUGCAGAUCUGUUUGCACAGUGUGGGUGCAGAUCUAUUUCCAGGCUUUCUUUGGUCUGGAGAAUGUAACCCAGGCUGUGGAUGAGGUAGCUGCCACUGCCAGUAGCUAUUCGGAUUUUCUUUGUGCAUUUUGUGUUCCCAUCGAAUCAAGAUCACCGUGCUGUUCGUCUAAUGAACCGUGUCCUGAUCUUGAGAUUAAAAAAGAAGGAUCGAGUACACAUGUAGUUCUGAAUAGUUUUCGAUAAACUGAAACUUGGUUGGUUUGUGUAUCCGACCUCUAAAAAAAUGGUUUGGAGGGAUAGUAGCUCACUGGUGAAACUACUAAAAUCUUUCUCUUGGAUAUUUUGAGCAUAAGUUGGCACAAAGUGUAUCUAGGCAUGUAAAACGUAAUACUCUGAAUGAGGAGCUGUAUGGUUCAGUAAAUACUCCUUCUGCUUUUAUUUUCAAGUUUCGACCAUAACAUGCUAUACUAAGCAGCAACCAUCUUCUGAGCAACUUUUACUUGAAGUUUUGGACCAUAAUGUUGUACUCAUCAGAAUCAUGGGCAGUUGACGGAGAAAAAGCUGGCAACUUCAUGCGGGAGAUAAAGGUGCAGAAGCUCGUCCUUGACAUCUCCGUCGGGGAGUCAAGAUCGCCUCAGCCGUGCGUCGAAGUAACCAUGCAGGAUACGCGAUUUGGUGGUGCUACUUUUCCCAAGACUUGAGGUUAUUUUCCUCCCCAAAUUCUAAUCCUUUAGGACUGAGAAUGUGGAUGCUUAUGCUUGUAGCAAUGUUUGAACAUGGAAUUUUCCCUUCUAAAAUAUGCAUGUUAGUACUGGUUAUGAUGUUGAACCAUGACCCUGGAUCUUUUCCCUUGUUGGUAAUAUUUAGUAUAUUUUCAAACCUUGAUAUUGGACCUUAUAUUCUUCAUUUAGUUCCACCAGUUCAUGUUCUUGCUCGAUAUAAAAAGGAGCUUAAAACAAAGCUUCUUUAGAGAAGGAAACCCCGGAAGUUAGAAUAGCCAAUGAGACGAAAACAAGUGAAUGCCAAUUAUGUAUGUGCGUCUUAGUAGCCUAUAUGUGAGUUUCUUCCUACACCUGAUGCUGCUACGUUGUUUUUAUCUAGAAUGGCUUAUUAAGUUGUUGCAAAAUUUCUGGUACUCAAAGAUAUAAAUGAGAACAAAAAACACAUCAGUUUCAUAGAAGAUUUUUUCAGAAAUGGUUGGCAUUCACGCUGCAGCAACAGCCUGUCAGCUUUCUAGACAUAAGACAUGGAGUUAAUAAUUAUGCUGCUAACCUUGUACAGCAUGUUGCACAUUAAAUCUAUUAUUUUCUUUGCAAUUGGAAUGGAGGUCCUUGAGGUCCUUCAUUUCUUGUCACAUCCCUUUUCUUAGGGUGUGUUUGGUAGCCUGUGUCAUUUGGAAUUCACUCUCCCACCUCAGAUUUCUGAGCUCAUACAAGCCGACCUGAGAUUUUGUGGUGUGUUUGGUAGACCGUAUGUGCCGAGAUAAUCUGAACUGAUACUUUGUUUGGCACUGUAUGUGGAUUGAGAUUGGCCAGAAAAGAAUGAAAUUACAGUGCGGUCCAAACUCUUGCACAAAGGAUCCUAAACAAAACCCAACAAAAGCA